ensembl:lncRNA
GUGGACGGGACGGACGGUGAAAGCUGUGAGUAUUCUGGAACCCUGCUCCGCUGAGGAGAAGUCCAGGUGUUGAGGAAGGGAGGGGGGGCCCUCCUGCUCCUUUGGUUGCAGAGACACGUUGAGGCCAUAGAGCCCAGGGAAGUUCUGAGCACACGGAGGCCAGACCAGGGCAGUGCUGUGAGGCCCCAAACAACCUUCGGUAGGCGACAUGAGUGGGGGACAGAUUCUAACACCUUGGUUCCUCAUGUCUGUGUUUCUGCAGCGUGGAGCACUGUGAGUCUGUGUGGCAGCGUCCACGAUGAAGAUGACACAGGUAGGAACAGCUCUCGGGUAGGGGCCAAUGGGAGAGGGUUCCCUGGACACUUGGGUUACGCCUGCUGCUUGGGGUGUGGGGCAGGUGAGUCUGAAAUCUAACAACAGAAAGAAAUUGGUGUAAAGAUGUUCAUCGCCUGUUUUAAGAGGGAGAGGGAGCAGAUGAAGAGGUGCCGGAAUGUUGGCAUCUGUGCUCACAUUGGGUCGAAGCGUCUCAGUCCCUGGAGCCGAGGGAAGGUGUGGGCACCUGGAGGAAAAACCAGGGUGAUGCUCCGUGACCCGCAGUCACCUCAGGGACGGGGGAGAAGCGGGAGGGCCGCUGUUUGUACGUCCUUGAUUCCCCGUGGUGUGUUUCUGCAGACUCGGUGGUGGAGAGCAGCAACAGCCACCAGGACGAGGAGGCUGCAGAAUCUUGCUUUGGGAGGAAAGGAUCUUGCUUCAGGAGCCUGAGGAUAAGUUUGUCCUCUGCGAGCUUGGCUAGACUAAUCCCCUGGUGGCCGCACAACAGGGUGCACCCAGCCACUGAGCCAGAUGAAGCAACGCACGACGAUGUUGUGGAGGCCGGUGGGAGUGAGAAGACCGAGGAGGAGGCCCAGGCUGUGACCAAGGAGGAGGAGGCGGGCCCGGCCCCUGAGAAGGGGGCAGAGGAGGCCGCAGCCGUUGGCGAGGCAGAGGAGGAGGCGGGCCCAGGCAGUGACAAUGACAAGACGUCCCCAGCCAGGGCUGGGGCUGAGCAGGAAGAUGAAUCUGCCCCCAAGGUGGACGGGACGGACGGUGAAAGCUCGUGGAGCACUGUGAGUCUGUGUGGCAGCGUCCACGAUGAAGAUGACACAGACUCGGUGGUGGAGAGCAGCAACAGCCACCAGGACGAGGAGGCUGCAGGUAGGGAAGAGCACGCAGCUGGGAUCCAGUGGGAGAGGGUUCCUGGGAGCACCUGGGUUGCACCUGCUGCCGGGCGAGGGAGGAAGGGGGAUGGGACUUGGCGGGUGGGUGGGUGGCCUAAUGAGUGGAAGCCUGGUGUGGCGUUUUCCCCUCUGAAAUUGAUCACACGAAGAAGACUUGGGUGCCUGGUCUUUGUUGUGCUGUGUGUGUCUUCCUGUCUCCUUCCUUGGAGAGGGAAAAUGGAUUUUCCCUCCCAAGGCUGCUCCUUCCAGCUCUUGGCUCUGGCCACUGUGCCAGCUUGCUUUGUGACUCGCACCCUGAGGGUCCUGUGCACAAGAGCUGUUGACUUAGUUUCCUUUAGUGACCUUGAUGGACCUGACGGGGUGGGACGCCAACCUCUCCUAGGCCCCCGACCCUGGAGACGAAGUUGGUCUAGUGAGUGUCAGGUGGUGGGUGAGAAGGCAGCUCUCUCCCUCUGCACGUUCAGGAUUUCUGGGCUCCCUGACCUGUUGUGUCCUCACGGUGUGUCCUCAGGGAAGCGGCACUACCAGAGUUGGAUGAGUUACAGGAGUUGUCCUCUGAGUUCCUGUUGUAGCUCAGCGGUUAAUGGAUGCACCUUGGAACCAUGAGAUUGCGGGUUCGAUCCCCGGCCUCACUCAGUGUGGUGAGGAUCCAGGGUUGUUGUGAGCUGUGGUGUUGGUCACAGAUGCGGCUGGAUCCCACGUUGCUGUGGCUGUGGUUUGGGCUGGCAGCUGCAGCUCCGAUUGGCUCCCUAGUCUCGGAACCUCCAUAUGCUGCAAGAGUGGCCCUAGAAAAGGGAAAAAGGCAAACAUGCAAUACUGUAAAAUAAAGGAGAUGUCGUGUGGGGUUGCUGCGUAGGA